GUGACGUGUCCUAGUCUCGCGCUGCCGUAGUCCUCCUCUCUCUUUUCUCUAUGGUUUUCCCUCCCAGUCUCUUCCUCACGGCGACGGGAAAUGGCCGCCGAGCUGCGAUAAGGGAGCGGGGCAGCUGGGAGCGCCGCCCGCCAGGAAUUAAUAUUUCUGAGAGCACAUUUUCAGAAUUUUAAAAUCACUUCAUUGAUUAACAUCUAGAGGCCUAAGAAGCAAUCCACUGAAGAAAAUGGGUCGAUCUAAUUCUAGAUCUCAUUCUUCAAGAUCAAAGUCCAGAUCUCAGUCCACUUCUAGGUCAAGGUCCAGAUCACAUUCUAGAAAAAAGAGAUACAGUUCUAGGUCUCGGUCUAGGACCUAUUCACGAUCUCGCAGUAGGGAUCGUGUUUAUUCUAGAGAUUAUCGCAGAGAUUACAGAAAUAAUAGAGGAAUGAGACGCCCCUAUGGUUACAGAGGAAGAGGUAGAGGGUAUUAUCAAGGAGGAGGUGGUAGAUAUCAUCGUGGAGGUUACAGACCCGUCUGGAAUCGAAGACACUCCCGAAGCCCUAGGCGGGGUCGUUCACGUUCCAGAAGUCCAAAGCGAAGGUCUGUGUCUUCCCAGAGGUCCAGGAGCAGAUCUCGUCGAUCUUACAGAUCUUCCAGGUCUCCAAGGUCCUCUUCAUCUCGUUCUUCAUCCCCAUACAGCAAAUCUCCUGUCUCUUCCAAAAGACGUGGGUCUCUGGAAAAGCAGGCUAAGAAAACUGAGGGAGCUCCUUUGCAAGAUAGCCCUUUAAAAAGUAAAUCACAGGAUGAACAGAAAGAUACAUUUGAACAUGACCCAUCUGAGUCCCUUGAUGACUUUAACAAAUCAUCAGCAGCUUCUGGUGACAUUUGGCCUGGCCUUUCAGCAUAUGAUAACAGUCCAAGGUCACCCCAUAGUCCUUCUAUUGCCUCCCCACCCAGUCAGAGUUCAUCUUGCUCUGAUGCCCCCUUGCUCAGCACAGUUCACUCAGCUAAAAACACACCUCAACAUUCACAUUCCAUUCAACAUAGCCCUGAGAGGUCUGGCUCUGGUUCCCUUGGAAAUGGUUCCAGUCGCUACAGUCCUUCUCAGAACAGCCCAUUGCAUCACAUCCCUUCAAGGAGAAGCCCUGGAAAGACAAUCCCUUCACAGAGUGCUCCACGUGAGGAGGCUCGAAUGCGCUCAUUUUAUCCCGAAGUUGGGGAACAGGAAACUGCAAAGGGUGGAAAGUUUCUAAAAAGGUACACAGAUGAAGAGUCUAGAGUAUACCUGCUUGAUAGGGGUAAUACCAGGGAGAAAGAGGCCCAGAAGGAGAGAGGAUCAGAAAAAGGGAGGACAGAGGGAGAAAGGGAAUGGGAGGAUCAGGAAGCUUUAGAUUAUUUCAUUGGUAAGGAUGCUGGGAAGCAAAAGUUUAGUGACUCUGAAGGGGAGGAGACAGAGGAGACAGAGGAUUAUGGACAGUUCAGAAAAUCUGUCCUCGCAGAUCAGGGUAAAAAUUUUGCUACUGCAUCUCACCGGAAUGCUGAGGAGGAAGGAACCAAAUACAAAUCUAAAAUUUCAAUGAAGGGCAAUAGAGAGAGUGAUGGAUUUAGAGAAGACAAGAGUUAUAAACUUAAAGAGACUGGCUAUGUAGUGGAAAGGCCUAGUGCAACAAAAGAUAAGCACAAGGAAGACGACAAAAGUUCUGAGAGAAUAAUGGUGAAGAAAGAAACUCAGUCACCUGAGCAGGUAAAGUCUGAAAAGCUCAAAGAACUCUUUGAUUACAGUCCCCCUCUACACAAGAAUCUGGAUGCGAGAGAAAAAUCCACCUUCCGAGAGGAGAGCCCACUUAGGAUCAAAAUGAUAGCCAGUGACUCCCAUCGUCCUGAAGUUAAGCUCAAAAUGGCACCGGUACCUCUUGAUGAUUCCAAUAGACCAGCUUCCUUGACUAAAGACAGGCUGCUUGCUAGUACGCUUGUCCAUUCUGUCAAGAAGGAGCAAGAGUUCCGAUCCAUCUUUGACCACAUUAAGUUGCCACAGGCCAGCAAAAGCACGUCAGAGUCAUUUAUUCAGCACAUUGUGUCUUUGGUUCAUCAUGUCAAAGAACAAUACUUCAAGUCAGCUGGAAUGACCCUAAAUGAGAGGUUCACUGCAUAUCAAAAAGCUACUGAAGAACAUUGCACCCGGCAAAAGAGCCCAGAAAUACACAGGAGGAUUGACAUCUCUCCAACUGCCCUGAGGAAGCAUACCCGUUUAGCAGGUGAAGAGAGAGUCUUUAAAGAAGAAAGUCAAAAAGGAGAUAAAAAAUUAAGAUGCGAUUCUGCUGAUCUUCGGCACGACAUUGACCGUCGUAGAAAAGAGCGAAGUAAAGAACGAGGGGACUCUAAAGGUUCCAGGGAAAGCAGUGGAUCAAGAAAGCAGGAGAAAACUCCAAAAGAUUACAAGGAUUACAAACCUUACAAAGAUGACAGUAAACAAAAAAGAGAGCAAGACCGUUCUCGAUCUUCCUCAUCUUCAUCCCCGUCUUCCGCCUCAUCCAGUUCACGAGAAGAAAAAGAUGGCAAGAAAGAAAGAGAUGAAGAGUUCAAAACCCACCAUGAGCAGAAAGAAUAUUCAGGUUUUACAGGAGUCAGCAGGCCGAGAGGCACCUUUUUUCGAAUUAGGGGCAGAGGAAGAGCCAGAGGAGUUUUUGCUGGAACAAAUAUUGGUCCCAGCAACUCAAAUGCUACUUUUCAAAAGAGACCGAAGGAAGAGGAGUGGGAUCCUGAAUAUACCCCAAAAAGCAAGAAAUACUUCUUGCAUGAUGACAGAGAUGAUGGUGUGGAUUAUUGGGCCAAAAGAGGAAGAGGCCGUGGCACUUUCCAGCGUGGCAGAGGGCGGUUUAACUUCAAAAAAUCAGGUAGCAGUCCAAAGUGGACACAUGACAAAUACCAAGGGGAUGGGCUUGUGGAAGAUGAAGAAGAAACAAUGGAAAAUAAUGAAGAAAAGGACAGACGCAAAGAAGAAAAGGAGUAAUGUGAAGAAAAAUUCCAGCUGAAAAAGCAGCCCUUGCACCACCCACACAGCAUUUUUAAUAUUUUUUUGUCGUCAAAUGAAUACCACCCCCACGAUGGGAGCUCUCUUCUGAACAGAUCUAAAUAUGACAAGUAUAGCUGUAGCAUAACAGGUGCUACGUUUCUCCGUCCAUAUACCGCUACUGGGGAAAUGCCUCAACUGUUUGUGCAACAGCCCAAAAAGUAGCUUGACUUCUAUACACUGUAACCGGAAGAUUUGUCCUACAUUCCAAAUGCAUGUUCCAUUUUUGCAUAUGACAGAACAAGGUAAACCACUAGUGGGAAAAGAGUUACUUUUAAGAAAAUCUGUUUAGUAUAUUUCAGACUUUGCAUGCAUAAUGUAUGAAGUCUUCUGAAUGGAGCACUAGUUGCUAGCUUAAAACUUUUCAAGCACAGUGAAUAACACAAAAUGACACUCUCAAGACUACGUUUUGAAGAGUUUUAAUUGGUGACUUGUGGGUUACCAAUAGAAAGUUUUAGUCAAAAAGUUUGUGGCAUUAUUAAUCCAGCUGCCCUUUGUGUCAGUCUUCGUUCCAGUUCAUAAAACUGCCUUUUCAAUUUCUUUACAUGGGCUUUCCUCUUCAGGUAAAUAUUCUGACAAGUGUGAAUUCUCUAUUAAGUUUACAGUCUUAUAUGGAAUAAAAAUCUAAAAGUUUUUAAAAGGAUGAAAUGUUAGAAUUUGUGCCUUACUGCUCUAAACAUCUUACAGAAACUUGAACAUUUUAAUGUAAGCUGAAACAGGUUAAAGAUACCAGUGAUAAGUUCUAAAACACAUCAACGUUUGAAAAACACACUGAGGCACUAAACUUCAAAUUGAAGCUAACUUGCUAUUAGAUUUUAAGAUCAUUAACAAGUUAAAACUGUAAGAGCUUUUUCAUUUAAUUCUCUAAAGUUGAGACUUACCUCCUUUCCAGCCUUGCAUACAAUCACUUGAGCUUCUAGCUCUUUUGUCGCAGCAAAAGCAAAAGCUAAGGAUUAAAAAAAGGUUAUGCAAUUUUAAAAAUAAUCUUAUUACUACUAGAUUGAGGAUGCAAGUUCAAAAUGCUGUGUUUGUGUGCAUUUUGUUAAAGCAAAGCAAGUUGUAACGCUGAAAUGUAAAAGUGGAACUAGCAGUAAAGUAUUAAAUGGAGGCUUUCAAACCAUUUCAGCUAUGUUGUUUAUAACAUAGCCUGCUUAAUUCCAUAAAUACCGGGCUUGAAAAGUUUCCUGCAAACCUACAAACCAGAAGUAAAAUGAUGGUCAAAAGAAGGAUAGCUCAGUGGUUUGAGCAUUGGCCUGCUAAACCCAGGGUUGUGAGUUCAAUCCUUGAGGGGACUGUUUAGGGAUUUGGGGCAAAAAUUGGGGAUUGGUCCUGCUUUGAGCAGGGGGUUGGACUAGAUGACCUCCUGAGGUCCCUUCCAAUCCUGAUAUUCUAUGACGGCUUGUAAAAGCUUUAUUUGUAUCAAGGCUCACCCAUUUCUAGGAUAAUAUAGUAGCACACACUUAGGACUUGGCUACACUUGCAAGUUAGAGCGCAUUAAAGCAGCCCUGGGCGCCCUUACUCCUGAGGUGUCCACGCUGGCAAGGCAUGCAGAGUGCCUGGACUCUGCAGCUGGAGCACUCCUGGUAAUCCACCUCCACGAGAAGCAUAAAGCUUGCUGCGCCCUGGCUGAAACGAGAUGUUGCAUUACUGUGCUGUGAUUGGCCUCCGGAAACGUCCCAUAAUCCUUUGAAGUCAAGUGGCCACUCUUCUCAUUGUUUUGAAAUUGGCCGCAGGAAUGCGGAUAUAGACAAAUUAGAGGAUUGGGCCAAAAGAAAUAUGAUAAGGUUCAACAAGGACAAGUGCAGCAUGCACUGCUAUAGACUAGGGACCGAGUGGCUAGGCAGCAGUUCUGCAGAAAAGGACCUAGGGGUUACAGUGGACGAGAAGCUGGCUAUGAGUCAGCAGUGUGCCCCUGUUGCCAAGAAGGCUAACGGCAUUUUGGGCUGUAUAAGUAGGAGCAUUGCCAGCAGAUCGAGGGACGUGAUCAUUCCCCUCUAUUUGACACUGGUGAGGCCUCAUCUGGAGUACUGUGUCCAGUUUUGGGCCCCAUGCUACAAGGAGGAUGUGGAAAAAUUGGAAAGAGACCAGCAGAGGGCAACAAAAAUGAUUAGGGAGCUGGAGCACAUGACUUAUGAGGAGAGGCUGAGGGAACUGGGGUUAUUUUGUCUGCAGAGAGAAGAAUGAGGGGGGAUUUGAUAGCUGCUUUCAACUACCUGAAAGGGGAUUCCAAAGGGGAUGGAUCUAGACUGUUCUCAGUGGUGGCAGAUGACAGAACAAGGAACAAUGGUCUCAAGUUGCAGUGGGGGUGGUUUAGGUUGGAUGUCAGGAAAAACUUUUUCGCUAGGAGGGUGGUAAAGCACUGGAAUGGGUUACCUAGGCAGGUGGUGGAAUCUCCUUCCUUAGAGGUUUUUAAGGUCAGGCUUGACAAAGCCCUGGCUGGGAUGAUUUAGUUGGGGAUUGGUCCUGCUUUGAGCAGGGGGUUGGACUUGAUGACCUCCUGAGGUCCCUUCCAACCCUGAGAUUCUAUGAUACCCCUUUCAAAGCUCCAUUUCUCACAGCCUACAUGCUGGUCUGCUCCGGGACAAAGCAAACCAUUAGUGUGGAAUGCUGCUGUUGUGAGGGGACUAGGGGGGGUCUGUUGCUGUCUGAACUUACAAGACAGCAUGCUGACAUGCUCUCAGCCCCCAAAACACAGUCUCUCCCCCAACAUACAUACAACACACUCCCUGUCACGCUUCACCCCACCACCACCCAUUUGAAAAGCACAUUGCAGCCGCUUUCACACUGGGAUAGCUACCACAAUGCACCGCUCUUUGUGGCGUUGCAAAGCUGCUAAUGUGGCCAUGCCAGCCAGCAUGCUUGCAGCUGACAGUGUAACACAUGGCAGCAUUUUCCCUGUAGUCUCCGAAGGCUGGUUUAAUUCCCAGCGCUGUACAUCUGCAAGUGUAGCCAAACCCUAAGUAAUAUAGAAGUCUGUUUAUAUAAGUGUUUUAAGUGAUGUGGAAGCCAGUAGUAUCUGGAGAGUUUCAUAGUAGGAUGUAUAAGAUCUACACCAACUUAAAGAUGUUAGAGCUAGUGUGAAAUACAGAUCUCAGUACUGUAGUAUGGGGGGGGCACUAUGUCUCAGCAUAGAAUCUAGUUGGCUAAUUUGUUAAGCAAACCUUCCAUCUGAAAAGGACAAUACCCUCUCUUCUUAUACACCCAGUUGUGUGGAUGUUUAUGGUCCAACUUUUUUUGCUUAAUUCCCUUCUUAGUGGGACUUAUUUUUAUUGCUAAGAAUCUCCUGUUAAAACUAUAAUAAGAAUAUUAAGUGUAAUGGAGACAGGGAGGUAAGUCUGAAAACAAUGGAUCAUGUUAUAAUGUCAUUUAUUUAUGUGUCACAUGUAAUGUUUCAUAAGCAGUGUAGUUCUAGGUGGCUUAAUGAAAUUUCAUAACCAGAAACAACAAGCACCAAAUGCUACAGAACUCUGGCCCACCAUCAAGUGCCCAGUGUGAGCAUCCCUGCUCUAGAGUAAUGAGCAUCUUCAGUUUUCCUUCUGCUCAGAAAGCUAGGAGUAAAAUUGCAUAUUUAACUUGGUCAUUUUCCCACCCCCACAUUCAUAAUCUAGGACUUAUUUGUUUGAAUGCAAAGAUGGUUGGUAGAUAAGACAUUAAAUACAGGAUAUAUUUCAAUAGGAAAUUCUACCAUGAAAAGUGUGUGCACAGGGAAGCUAUAUAGUAAGUUGAUUAACAUGAAGGCAUUUCUUUUGCAAUUGGAGCCUAGAAAAGAACUUGUUCAGAAACAGAUAAAUGUAAGUGAUCAAACAAGACGCUUAAGCUGUCUAAUACGACUUCUCGAACUGAAAUUACGUAUAAAUAGCACUAUUUCUGAAGAUUCUAUCAAGUUAAUGCUGUCAUACUGUACUUCACUCUGCCCUGGAAUAUCAUACCCUCUUUCUAAAAGAAACUAUAGGAACACCACAUACUGCUUAUUACACAUGUUCUUGCAACAGUCCGCUCCCCACAAGAUGAUCUCUGCUCCAUUUGUCACCUUAUUGGCAACAAUGGUAAUAAGAGCAUAGAUACUACAUAUCUAAUUUUGCUAAUGUAAAUAGGGAGAGUUGAGGGAGGGGAAAGGAUGGCUCUGCUUCACAGGUCUUGGUAAAAAGGUUAAACUUUCAAUUUGUUUACAUCUUUUUGAAGGGAAGUAGUGGAAUGAGUGUUAUAGUUCAGUAAAUAUUUGAAUCAUUAGCGUAACUAAAAGAUUGGGCGUUCUACUCCAUUAGUGCUCUGGUAAUUUGUAGAAAUUUCAGACAAACCUUACCUCUGUUACAAGAUCUGAUUUUACUCUGACUUCAGAGACGACUGAAAUGUAAAACUGAUUUACUCCUCUGACUUUCAACAAAACUUCUUCACACAGACUUCUGGUAUGCUAAAGUAGAGGGAAUGAGAGGAGUAAUGGAAAAACAACAAUCAAACUGAGUUCAGUAUUCAGAAACUAGUAUCCCAGAGUUCACCCUGAUAAUUAACAAUUAAUGUGAAUCUAAAACUCAAAGAAGGCAGCUAGAAACAAGUCAGUGGGGGUAGACUUGGACUUGUACUAUAAGAAAACUGAAUACUUGUACUGUAACAAAUCUAAGUAAUUUGAUCCAGCAGCCUAGUUGUUAGGCACUUGAUAGUAUUUGAAUUUCAGUUGGGUCAUCUAGGCACUACUCUUAAGUGGGCUGCUUGGUGCCUUAUAUCCAUAGCAUGAGAAUGUCUGCCUAAAGGGAUUUAGUAACUUAAAUAGAUCAGAUCGGAGAAAGCAUUAUCUCUGUUUUACAGAAAGGAAACUGGCACAGUGACUUGCCCAAGGUUGCAAAGUAAGUCGGUGCAAAGUUAGGAAUUAAAUUCAGAUCUUCUGAAUCCCUGUCUAUUAUCAUAACAUCCUUCCUCUAUUUGGACCAGCCUGAGAGUUAGAUAACAGAAGCCUACUGCCCUUGCGUAUGGUGUGAAUGGAGCUGCCCACUACCAGUCUGAAGAAAGUAUUUCUGGAUUACAGAAUAGAUAGGAAGUGGCAAAUUAUUCUGUGACCUGACCUCUCUAGAAACUUUUUAAAUGGACAUUCUCCUAGAGAUUUCAGUUGCAGAUUCCCUUGGAGAACCCACAUGAGAAAUUACACAAUUAAAAUUAGGAAUGGUGAUAUAAAGACAAUUAUUUGAGCUUGCAUAAAAGGCACUGAAUAAAGCUUAAAUUCCUAUCACAUUAUCUAGUCCUUCAUGAAGAGUAAUGGUCUUUGCAUUCUUGUUGGAACUGUUAAGUUGUGCUUUGAACUUUUUAUUGGAUACUUCUGGAGUACCUGUUUGGCUGAUACGAGGAGUAUUCAGUGCAUUUUGUAUUUGUCUUCAACUUCUAGCAAGAGAAUCAUUGGGAUCACAUCUACAGGAAAAGUAGUAAGAAUUAUCUAGUUUCUUUCCUACUAGAGCCUUUUUGUUGCUACAUUGAAUUUUGAAUUAAGGUAGACCAGUCUGGAUGAGUUAGUGGUGGACAACACUGACACAACAGUUUAAUAAAGCCAGAACUGCUUCCUCUCCUAUAAUACCACAGAGAGGCUAUUCUAUUGAGGAGACAUCUGGGGUAUUUUUUCCCAUUCCAGACUUAAAGGCAGGAUCUUGCAAAUUUUCUCUCCAGGAACCAACUCCAAGAUCCUUUCAGUGUUUAUUUUGCAUCCCCUAUCAGCUCCCCUAUCUUCUUGGGGGAAGAAAAGUAAAAUGGACAGUACUAUGCAGCUCUUUUGCUUACUGGAAACUUCAGUUCUUUCUGCUCUGUAAACUCCAGCUGCUUUGGGAAUUGCCCCUGCCCCAAACCCCCCCCCAAAUAGCUCGGGGAGGCCUGAGCCAUAAACUGCUCUGCUGCUACUACCCCCUUUAACCAUUAUUGGUGGCUUGCUAGCUUUGAUUUGCCACAUCCCAAAGCGGCUUUUCAAAUGCUGCCAACAGUUGAACUGCAGGCUGCAGUAGGCUUCAGCCUCCCUUGCGUACUGCCACGUUUGGAAACAUCUCCCAUCUUAACUAUGGUGCCCACAGCUUAGCUAGUACAGUUUUUGGUCAGAAUUCUUUAUUUGGGUCUGGGUCUUGUCUUCUAGAAGCAGUGAUGUCAUCUUUAGCAGAAGAGGGAGAUGCCGUCGUCCCUCUCUUGCUCUUUACUUCAGUGUACGGAGACUGCUGAAGCUACAUUCAGCUUCAGAUGUAAUGUCUCUGCUUCCACCUCAUAUAGAAACUGCAUGCUCCAUCUGAGGCUAGUUUUCAAUUCCCUUUCUGGCUCUUCUUCCCAUCCUGGAUAAAAGGGAGGAGGAUUUUCUGUUCAAUUGGAUCUCCCCAGCCUGCUGAAUAAGAGAGAAGAAAAUCUCUCCUGGAUGUAGCGUUGACCAGAAUAGCAAUGGAUGAUGGUUUUUGGGCAUAGGUUGCUUCUAAGGCCCUGCACUCCUGUCUGAACCCAGAAAGAAAUCACGCUCAAUACUCUGUUCUCUUCCACUUAGCUUCAAGAUCAAAGUGUCUUUGAAUGAAACCAAGUAAACUGAUUUUCUGAACUUUUAUAUGGGUGUGUAUUAUCUUACUGCUACUUUGUUUACUUUAAAAGGACUCUUUUCUUCUGUCCCUCCAAUCAUUUCCUAGCACAUUCUUCAGUUUUAGGCAUAUGAAGACAACCUCAUACGAUGCUGGAGACUAUUAAACACCAGUCUGCAAUAUUGAUCACCAGCUUCCUCAUUCAUUACAGGUCAGAUGACUCAGCUCAUGAAUUCAAUACUUUGAAGACUGAAAAUAAUGAAAUAGCUAAUCUUAUAUACAAACAUGCUGAGAUGCCCUGCCCACCUUCCAGAAGUGUCUAAAUUCUCUUGCUUGAUAAGUCCAUCCACAUUUAACAUCCAGUCCCUUUUGCUAGCCACAUCCUCACUUAUACAGUUUUAAUCCUUCCACAUCCUAACUCUCUAACUUAUUCCCUAAUAGGCAUAAGAACCUUGAUGUUAAUUUCCUUUUAACUUCUUAAAGUUUUCAUUCACAAAUUGAAACUAGGGCCUGGUGUAUUUCAAGUAUUAAAACUUACACUUUGUUAUUUAAAAUACAUGAGUAAGUUUAAAAUGCUAGAACUUGAAAGAAUGCCAUAGAUUUUUUUUUUUAAUUGUGUUAAUCCUGGUCAUAGCUUAGAAGUUGCAAACUCAGACUUAUUACCUUUUCUUCAAGUUCUCCAACCUUUCAGUCAUGCCACAGUUGUUUGUCCUACAGUAGAACCCCGUGUUACGAACACCUGGGGAAUGUAGGUUGUUCGUAACUCUGAACAAAAAAACUUUCAAAAGUUUACAACUGAACAUUGACUUAAUUCAGCUUUGAAACUUUACUAUGCAGAAGUAAAAUUAUGCUUUCCCUUUUUUAGUAGUUUACAUUUAACACAGUACUGUACUUUAUUUGCCUUUUUUUUUUUUGGUCUCUGCUGUUGUCUGAUUGUGUACUUCCAGUUCCCAUGAGGUGUGUGGUUGACUGGUUAGUUGUAACUCUUAUGUUCAUAACUCUGAGGUCCUAUGUAAUUGCAUAAUUGGAAGAACUCUCUGAAAGAAAAUAAAGUGCCUGCAAAAUU